CAGCCUGGGAGGUCCACGCGCGUUAGCCGGAGCAGGAGGUCCCACCACCAUCACCGCUCCUCGCCCUGCCACGGGAGGAAGCGGGAGGCAAUGCGGAGCCGAACUAAACACUUUAAUUAGAGGGCUGUUUCCCAGGGAGCGCAGAUGGAGGGCAAACGGAGCAAAUGGCGAAGGAUGUUCUUUAGAAGGCCACUUCGGCUGAGUAUCAAAAGCGAUGUCUGUAAGGAAGGACGUUUAUUCAGUGCAGAAGAAACACACUUCUUAUGCGCAUCUGCUGAACAGCACCAGGUCGUAAGCCCCCAGCGGUACCCAAGGAGGAGUGGACGGAGGCUGCGCUUGGUGGGUCAAGAAAUGGAGACUCCUGUGAUGGAGAAUGCUGCGGGCUUGUGGCUUUGGGCACCAGGAGGAAAUUUCUGCUCCACCUGCAGAUUUGCGGCUCGGGAAUAGAGUCUGUGUGCUGGCAGCGCUGAACUGCCAGAGCUGUCAGAGCCCAGGCCCGUGGCAGCACCGGGAGGGUCAGGGGCAGCGGGCAGAGCAACAUGGGCACUGCUGGAGGCAGCGAGGCAAAAAGCAGUACACGGACAGGCGUUUUCACACAAUGAACCAUAUGGGAGUCAAUGAAGAAGGUGUCGAUGUGCAGCACAGCCUGGCCCCCUGCAUGCUGAUGGAUAAAGCUGGCAGAUGGGUGGAUCAUCAGCUUUGAAGACUUCCUUCUGAAUUUGCUGGAUUUUCUUCUGAAAGCAUCCAAUAAAUAAGACAGGCAGAAGAACGAAGUGGCAGGGAGGAUGUGCAGCACGGCUCCUUCCUGCGUAACCAGAGAUUGCUCAGUUGCUACCAGCAGGAGACUUUCCAUCGACUGGAAAUGCUUGCAGGAAUAUUGGAUGGUUGAACUUGUUUUGAAGACAUCUCCUACAAAAGCAUCUCAUCCCGUUCAUACCCACUGAAAAGCCUUUUGCAUCGAUCUCAGAACAUACCCGCCAUGAGAAGUUGGAGGUGGGACCUGAGCUGAGCCCAUGAAGCCGUGUCACCGUUCCUAUGCUGCCGUGGACCAAGGAGGUCUCAGGGACAAGAGGCCAAAUUCUGUCACCUUUCCUGCCAGCGGGGUGUGUGUCCCAUGGACCUCACGGAGCUACUCAUGGAUGAAGUCCCAUUCCAUGAGGAGGAGCUCAGCUGGGAAGGCUUUGGCCUCCACCAUCUGGCGGUUUUAAUUAUGGAGAGAAACUUCAGCAAACUCUGAAUGGAAAUGUUCUGGCUGGCAGCAGUCCAAGGGAGGAAGAGGCUGGAGCACAAUCAUGCUAAUCAUCGCGUUAAAUGCCUCGUGUUCGGUGCCCAGCUCUUGCAUGCCAAUACACCUUGAUCCACCAACGGCCAUGUUGAAUUCCAUGGAGUGACAGCUUGUAUUCGCGUGGCCCUUUGUAUUUGAUGGGAUCCCUAAAGGAUUUGUGCAUUUGUCAAACUGAAAUAUAGUCCGUUCCCUCCUGAAGUCGGCUUCCCCCGGCGUGGAAGGCACAUAACUCUGCAAGACAACUGUGCGGAGCAGGGAGUGAUGAACAACGUGCAGCGGAAACUGUGAAGGGGAGCUGGGCCAGGUGCCGCGCAAUGACCUAACUUGACAUUUGGUAGGAAUGUGGGAGUUUUUACGAGCCAACUUCUGAAAAAUACAAUGUGGCAUCUCUCAUGUAUUCAGAAUUUCAGGGUGGGUUUCUUCUGAGAGCAGAGCCUUUAGCUUUAGGCGCCUGUCAGAUUUGCUGGCUAUAAGGCGGGGGAAUUCUCUUUCGAACCCCCAAAAAGAUGUAUGAGAAGUUAAUAAAUCCUGUAUUUCCGAUAUUAGAAGAGGUUACUGCCUUUAGUCUUGAUCAUACCCCUGCCACAGAGUGUGGCUUCACCAGAAAAUGGGGAUGGUAGUGAGAACCUCCCAGUGGUGGUGGGGUCUCCCAGUGGGCUACUGCCUGUGGCCAUGUGUCUUCCUUAUUAUCCUUAUCCUCCCAGUGCCACCGCCACCUCCUUUGCCCCUGGAGGCAAAGGUGGAUGCACAAAGAUGGAUGUAGAGGUAAUUCUCAGAUCCAUGGAGAUUGCUGUUCUCGGGCUCACACUCACGAUUCCUACUGAAUUACUGUAACUUUCUGCAGAACAAAUGCCUGAUAGAAAAGCAUCAGGAAGGAUAUCUGUUUUUAUGGUCUUUACCAGUUAUUAUUGUAGCAAUGAUGGCUUUCAGAGAACUGGAGAUGGCUCUGUCAGAGGUGAUAAUGGCACUUCCGAGCUGUUGAUUACCUCCACGUUGGGCCUUUUCACCACAUUUGAUAAAGACGUCUCCGUUCUCGGAAAGCCAUCGGCGAUUCAGUGAUAAUACAAACACCAGAUUGGAUUCCAGGCGCUUUCUCUGGCAUCCUGUGUUUAGAACGGGAUGUCCCCGUGCCGUACAGAGCGAGAUGAUUUCUUUACCAAGGUGCAAUAUAAAAUGCACUUGAAAACACCUUGUUUUUGUAAGAUGUUUGUGUCUGAGAUUUUUAAACCAAAGCGAGACAUUAAUUAUUGGACACUAUCUGGAUGCGGCUGAAAUUUGUGAGGCUCGUUUGGCUCGAUUUGUCUGAGAAGAUGCCUGCAUUUUGGACCCAGUCUCACAGCAGUUUCCCGUUGAUUCCAGUUGGCAUCGUAUCAAGCCUUAGCGUGCUCUACAACAGGCAGAUGAGAAAACAAAGUAUUUCUCUGACUUUCUCUGGAACUGUAAUUAUUGGGGUAAUUUGGAGAUACUCACAAGUCUAUGUGCAGAUAAGUGAUGACAGGCAAGAAACCAGCAACACAAUUAAGUAAAAUAUUAGUUCCCAAGUAAGUUUUGUCAAAGCGUUAGAAAUGUCUGCACAGCCUAUCUAGCUCCACCUUGGAGAGCCAUUUAAAGUGUAUCUUCCUUCCCAUCUCCCUCUAAAACUCUAAAUGAGAAACAAAUAAAAUUUUUGUAACCUUUUAUAGCCACUGCCAUAACCCUGUUUAUCAGCCAGCAUCCUUUAUCUCUCACCGGCUGGAAAUCACGCGUUUUCAUUGCCCUGAAUCACCAGAUGCAUUCAUCAAACAUGACAAAUGCCUCCAAAACACUAAAUCACACCACUUGAUCUCAAUGGGCUACAUAAUCAUUGUCAUACUGACGAUAAAUUUGAAAAUAUCUGUGUUCCAGACUGAAAUACCUGCAGCUCCUACCAGGGCUGAGAAACUGCAGGGGGAAAACUGAAUCCUAAAUUAAGUUUAAGAGUUUUUCAUCCCCUCAAAAAUUUGAUAAACUCAUGAAUUUUUGUGAGGCUUUCUGAUUUAUUUUUAGAAAAAGAAAGUUGUGGGUUUUUUUCUACCCAUGGGAAUGACUCGUGGAGUAAGAGAUGUUUUUCAAGAAUAAGGCUAUAUCUUAGUAAGUACAAAAAUGUAGGAGGGAAAAACUCAUCUCUUCCCGGGGAGUUUCCAGUUCUGUGGCCCUGCCCAUGCCUUGAUCUCCCUGAUGCUCCUGUGUCCCAGAGGACCUGCACUGGCCCGAGGGUGGCAUCGUAAGGGGCUGGCAAUGCCUUUAGAGCUUCUGAGGGGAGAGAAGUGCGGCAGAGCAUCCUCCUCCAUGCCCUGUUUAACAGGACCCUGCACCCUGUGGAGGAAAGGCACUGGCAGGACAACGCUGAAGUCAUCGCAGGUCAAACUUUUGGUAUCGCUCAAAAAAAGGAGAAGUUGGGCUACGGAUGCAUGAACAAACUGCCCUAAGGAUGCCAUAUAUCAACUGACCUGUGAGAACCACGGCUUUUCUGCAGUGAAAGCCAGGCAAUGCAAGGGGUAACUUAAGGUGACCAAAAACCUAAUUCUGCUGAUCAUCUGCACCGUGAACUUCCAAAGUCAUCUCCCGGCAGCUGCCCAGUUUGACCUUGAGAGCUGUG